GAUGAACGCUGGCGGCGUGCCUAAUACAUGCAAGUCGAGCGAACAGACGAGGAGCUUGCUCCUCUGACGUUAGCGGCGGACGGGUGAGUAACACGUGGAUAACCUACCUAUAAGACUGGGAUAACUUCGGGAAACCGGAGCUAAUACCGGAUAAUAUAUUGAACCGCAUGGUUCAAUAGUGAAAGACGGCUUUGCUGUCACUUAUAGAUGGAUCCGCGCCGCAUUAGCUAGUUGGUAAGGUAACGGCUCACCAAGGCAACGAUGCGUAGCCGACCUGAGAGGGUGAUCGGCCACACUGGAACUGAGACACGGUCCAGACUCCUACGGGAGGCAGCAGUAGGGAAUCUUCCGCAAUGGGCGAAAGCCUGACGGAGCGACGCCGCGUGAGUGAUGAAGGUCUUCGGAUCGUAAAACUCUGUUAUUAGGGAAGAACAAAUGUGUAAGUAACUAUGCACGUCUUGACGGUACCUAAUCAGAAAGCCCCGGCUAACUACGUG
rnacentral:rRNA from 1 species